rnacentral:rRNA from 1 species
GUUGAACGCUGGCGGCAUGCCUUACACAUGCAAGUCGAACGGCAGCACGGGAGCAAUCCUGGUGGCGAGCGGCGAACGGGUGAGUAAAGUAUCGGAACGUGCCCAGUCGUGGGGGAUAACGUAGCGAAAGUUACGCUAAUACCGCAUACGAUCUAUGGAUGAAAGCGGGGGAUCGGAAGACCUCGCGCGAUUGGAGCGGCCGAUAUCAGAUUAGGUAGUUGGUGGGGUAAAGGCUCACCAAGCCGACGAUCUGUAGCUGGUCUGAGAGGACGACCAGCCACACUGGGACUGAGACACGGCCCAGACUCCUACGGGAGGCAGCAGUGGGGAAUUUUGGACAAUGGGCGAAAGCCUGAUCCAGCCAUGCCGCGUGCAGGAUGAAGGCCUUCGGGUUGUAAACUGCUUUUGUACGGAACGAAAAGGUUUGGCCUAAUAAGCUGAGCUCAUGACGGUACCGUAAGAAUAAGCACCGGCCAACUACGUGCCAGCCGCCGCCGUAA